GACGAACGCUGGCGGCGUGCUUAACACAUGCAAGUCGAACGGGCCCGCUCUCUUUUUUGGGGGUGGGUUGAGUGGCGAACGGGUGAGUAUCACGUGAGUAACCUGCCCCCUGCUCCUGGAUAAUUGCUUGAAAGGGCGGCUAAUACGGGGUGUGCCGGCUGGUCCGCAUGGGCCUGGUCGGGAUAGUUUCAUCUUCGGGUGUUUCGGUGGGGGAUGGGCUCGCGGCCUAUCAGCUUGUUGGUGGGGUGAUGGCCCACCAAGGCGGUGACGGGUAGCCGGCCUGAGAGGGUGGGCGGCCACACUGGGACUGAGACACGGCCCAGACUCCUGCGGGAGGCAGCAGUGGGGGGUAUUGCACAAUGGGCGGAAGCCUGAUGCAGCGACGUCGCGUGAGGGAUGGAGGCCUUCGGGUUGUGAACCUCUUUCUCCGGUGGUGAAGGCCCUGUCCGUUGCGGCGGGGUUGACGGUAGCCGGGUAUGAAGCGCCGGCUAACUACGUG
rnacentral:rRNA from 1 species